ensembl:lncRNA
GAACGGCUGGAGAACCCAGAGGAGAGGUUUGAGAACGGCUGGAGAACCCAGAGGAGAGGUUUGAGAACGGCUGGAGGUCCCAGAGGAGAGGUUUGAGAACGGCUGGAGAACCCAGAGGAGUGGUUUGAGAACGGCUGGAGAACCCAGAGGAGAGGUUUGAGAACGGCUGGAGGUCCCAGAGGAGAGGUUUGUGAAUGGCUGGAGGUCCCAGAGGAGAGGUUUGUGAAUGGCUGGAGGUCCCGGGGGAGAGGUUUGAGAACGGCUGGAGGUCUCGGAGGAGAGUUUUGGAACGGCUGGAGAACCCGGAGGAGAGGUUUGGAAAAGGCUGAGCUAUAUGUUUGCCAAACAACUUUACAUGUCUGUUUCACACACAGGAAGGUAUUGCAGUUGAAUCACA